GACGUAGGGUCCAAGCGUUGUCCGGAUUUACUGGGCGUAAAGAGCGCGUAGGCGGCUUGUUAAGUGUGAAGUGAAAUCUCCAGGGCUCAACCCGGAAACUGCUUUACAUACUGGCAAGCUGGAGUGAUGCAGAGGUUUGUGGAAUUCCUGGUGUAACGGUGAAAUGUGUUGAUAUCAGGAGGAACACCCAUGGCGAGGGCAGCAAACUGGGCAUCAACUGACGCUGAGGCGCGAAAGCGUGGGUAGCAAACAGG
rnacentral:rRNA from 1 species